rnacentral:lncRNA from 1 species
ACCCCCAGUGUGGCCAACAGGGUUGCCAUAUUCAUCAGUCUGUCGCGUUGGGUUCCCGUAUUGGUCUCCGUACUCUGCCAUUUCUUCAGAUUUCAAGUGUGUAUCAAAAUCAAAACUCAAAUAAACAAGUAGUUUGUUUAGCUUCUUAUAUUGUCCCGCACUGCAAUGUGACAGAGAUUAAUUCGCACACGAUGCUUAUAUAGGAGAAAAAGGGUCCUAGUAAC